CACGUAGGGCGCGAGCGUUGUCCGGAAUUAUUGGGCGUAAAGAGCUCGUAGGCGGCCUGUUGCGUCCGCUGUGAAAGCCCGGGGCUUAACCCCGGGUCUGCAGUGGAUACGGGCAGGCUAGAGGUAGGUAGGGGAGAAUGGAAUUCCCGGUGUAGCGGUGAAAUGCGCAGAUAUCGGGAGGAACACCGGUGGCGAAGGCGGUUCUCUGGGCCUUACCUGACGCUGAGGAGCGAAAGCGUGGGGAGCGAACAGGA
rnacentral:rRNA from 1 species